rnacentral:rRNA from 1 species
UACGGAGGGUGCAAGCGUUAUCCGGAUUCACUGGGUUUAAAGGGUGCGUAGGCGGCUGAAUAAGUCAGUGGUGAAAGCUCGCAGCUUAACUGUGAAACUGCCAUUGAAACUGUUUAGCUUGAAUCUGGUUGAAGUGGGCGGAAUACAUCAUGUAGCGGUGAAAUGCUUAGAUAUGAUGUAGAACACCGAUUGCGAAGGCAGCUCACUAAGCCAUCAUUGACGCUGAGGCACGAAAGCGUGGGUAGCGAACAGG